GGCGUUAGGUGAAAGGACUAGCUCCUGGAGCUGAAGCCAGUCGCAGAUACCAGCUGGCUGCAACUGUUUAAUAAAAACACAGCACUGUGCAAACACGAAAGUGGACGUAUACGGUGUGACGCCUGCCCGGUGCUGGAAGGUUAAUUGAUGGGGUCAGCCGCAAGGCGAAGCUCUUGAUCGAAGCCCCAGUAAACGGCGGCCGUAACUAUAACGGUCCUAAGGUAGCGAAAUUCCUUGUCGGGUAAGUUCCGACCUGCACGAAUGGCGUAAUGAUGGCCAGGCUGUCUCCACCCGAGACUCAGUGAAAUUGAACUCGCUGUGAAGAUGCAGUGUACCCGCGGCAAGACGGAAAGACCCCGUGAACCUUUACUAUAGCUUGACACUGAACAUUGAGCCUUGAUGUGUAGGAUAGGUGGGAGGCUUUGAAGUGUGGACGCCA
rnacentral:rRNA from 1 species